rnacentral:lncRNA from 1 species
UGAAGGGGGGCCUUUGACACUCUUCACCCCGCCCCUCCCUUGCUUAGUCGCUCGGCUGGCCCGGCUCACCUUCGGGGUGAAGGCUACCAGCGAGCGUUAUAGCAGACGACUUUAAUAAAUGCAGGCGGCAGCAGGAACUCUGGGAACUUGGGUGCCCUUGCCUGGCAGUAAGGGUUGAAUUAUCCGGAUCUGAAAUACUUUACAGAGCCGAGGGGUGAUAGGCUCUGCAAAAGCACUUUUUGCCCCUCUCCUUUAUGCCAAUACUCGCUGACUGUGCACACAAGUCAUAUUCAGUAUUAAAUACAAACCGGUCUGUAAUUCAAUGGCUCUAGCAAGACGCCUCUGAGAGGGCCAGGUGGCGGGUGCAAGUUGCUCAUUAACCCUUUAGAGUCGCAGUUUGCAGAUCUGAGUUAGAUCCCCGGCUUUGAGGUCCUUCAGUUGCCCUCCUCCCCCACCUCCCCCCGCCACUGCGAGAAAAAUGUGCAAAGAGAAGGAAAUUUGCACAUCAAACGAGGGGCAAUCGCGGCGGUAGAUGAACUUGAUUAGGCAGACGCGUGAGAUCAAAGUGGCCGGGACCAAAGCGGACAGGGUCCAACGUGCCAGCACUGCCAAGAGAAGGCCUUUUGUACUCAGGUUAAAUAAGAACAUCCUGCAAGGAGUCUGUUCUUUUAUGCAGCCUAAAGAUCAAGUAAUAAUCAUUGACACUGAUACUGAGCAUGUCGAUUUUGAAGAGACUAGCAUUUCCUGGUAAUGAAGUGGAGUAUAUAUCCAUAUAUUUCUGUUUUCUGGAUGAGAAGACUAACCUAACUAAGUAGGAACCUUGAAGAAUCAUGUUCUUCCUAGGAAUUACAAAUCCCCCGAUUCCAUGUCUAACAUAAUUUCUACUGGCCUCUUUGCUUCUCAUGCUUUAGUACCAGUGCUUCUGAAUUUGAAAGUCUUCAUGCAAAUUGCCCAGGUUUGCUGGCAGCUGUGUCUCAGAAAAAGCUGUCUUCAGCAAGGCAGAAGCAGGAUACACAAGAGAGAAGAAUAAAAGGAACUCGUCACAGCCUGAGUGACACAUGUUUGAAUGAGGCACAGAGGCACAGCACUGCUGUAGUGGUGACUCAACUUCAUGAGGAUCUUCUAGAAGAUUUGCACUAUCAGCUUGGUAUUCAGUUCUCUAGCUUGAAAUGAUUUCAGUGCCUACCAGGGUGGUCCAGAGUUGGUGACUAUUAUGGCAUGGCUACCCAGGGCCAGAGAGGUGAGGUUUAAUGAGAAAGAAGAUAGAUGAAAAUGACUCCUCCUCCUGCUUUCACUGCUGCAGCAACUCAGGCCUGCAGACAAGAUCCAGCUCUAUUGCCCAAGCUGGAGUGCAGUGGUGAGAUAAUGAUUCACUGCAGCCUUGAUCUCCUGGGCUCAAGCAGUUCUCCUGCCUCAGCCUCCUGAGUAGCUGGGACCACAGGCACCCUCCACCAUGUCUGGCCAAAAUUUUUUGAAUUUUUUGUAGAGACCAGGUUUCACCAUGUUGCCCAGGCUGAUUUCAAAUUCCUGGGCUCAAGUGAUCUUCCUGCCUCAGCCUCUCAAAGUGCUGAGAUUACAAGUGUGAGCCACCACACCCAGCCAAAAUAUAAAUACGCCUUUAAUAGUAACACCUAAUUACCUAACACCAUCAAAAAUGGGGUGCUCCAUGAAGAAGCACAUAAUUCAAAUUAUUGAAGUUUAUCCCUUCUAAUGACCACAUAGAUUUCUCUUGCCCCAUUAAAAAAUUAGAUAAUCAGUAUUUCUAGGAUAGUUGUUUUCUUCCAACCAAUUAAGGCAUAAUCUAUGUAGCAGAACAUUCAGAGGAUGAUGCCUGGUCAACAUUUGAAUAAACAAUCACUGUGAUGUUACCUCUAUUUAAGAUGACUCCAAUAAAACUUCUAUGGUUUGCAUUAUUAGUUGAUCAGACUUUAAGCAUUAUCUUUUGAUAGGGUCAAGGAACCUGUCUUAACUCCCCAUCUCUGACCAAAAUAUACUUGUUUUCUAUAAGCUAUAAAGCCAGAUAGCCAAUUUUAUGAGAAUUGUCCCUAUACUAUAUCCAUGUGAGCGAUGAGUGCCUGGCAUGAAGAUGCAUAAAGGAGGCAGUAAUAUACAACAACUGAAGCAUAACCUCUGGAGCCAGUCUUCUUCAGACAAAUCCCAAUUCCAUUACUCACUGGCCACCUAAACAAGCUACUUAAUUCAUCUGCCUCAGUUUUCUUCAACUGUUUAAUGGGUAUGAUCAACAAACCAACUUCAGUGGGUUAUCAUAAAUAUUAAUAAAUGAGAGAAUGCAUGUGAAACAAAGCUAUAAGCAAUCAUUAGUAAUAAUAAUAAAAGAUGAUCAUUAUUUUUCAUGGAGUUUUUGCUAGUGCCAUGUACUGUUUUGUUAAUACUAAUUGCCUGAUUUUCUGUCCAUGAAUUUUUGGCUGAUCUAAGUUUCCACUUCCCUCACCCCUUGGCUGGGAUCUAGGUAUGAGAGUUGCUUGGCAAGCAAACUAGAGAUAAGUAAGGUGUUACUAUAUAAAGUUAAUGUAGGCACAUAUGAAUAUCCAAACAUGCCAUAAUGUUGGGGUUUGACCCUUUCCCUAAUACUCAGUUUCUUCAUUUGAAAUGUUCUAAUUGGUGUUUUUAUGUUGG